ACAGAUAUACACUCUCCCAUCAUAUGUCCAGGUGGAAUAUAUCUUCUGAUCCUUCCUCGGGUCUCUGGCCAACUUGAACAAGUGAUUCCUGUGCUUAGUCAGAUGCUCGUUGAUAUAGAUACCGUCUCGUUUACCUUGGAGUUUGGACUUGUUCUUGAUCACCUUGUUGCGGUCCCAGUAGCUCACAAACUUCACCACUACACUCCUGUUCUGACCUCGCUGUCUUUUCCCCACUCUAUGGCAUCUGUCGAUGUCUGAUGGUGAGAUAUCCGGGUGUACAUCCCUCAGCACAUCUAGUACAACCUGGUCAAUGUCCUCUUCCUCCCGUCCCCAGUCAGGCUCCUUGAUUCCUGCGAUCCUCACAGAGUUCCUCCGACUAUACUGCUCUAACUCGUCGGUCUUGAGCUGCAGUUCGUCUCUCAACUCCUGUAUCUCCUGCUUGAGGGGUUUGAAAAAAACAUGUCAGCGGCCACACAGCCUUAAAGACCAAAGACAAGCAUAUUUUCGG